rnacentral:tRNA from 1 species
GCCGACGUAGCUCAACGGUAGAGCACCUCACUUGUAAUGAGGCUGUUGGGGGUUCGAUUCCUCUCGUCGGCU